AUAUCCGACGAAAAGAUUAUUUCUUUCCAAUUUUGUGAGAAUUCUAUUUUUACAUCUUCGACGUAAUCUAAUCUACUUGCAUUAAUCUAACGAUAAAGAAAAAUUCGAGUUAAAUCUACGAUUAUAUAACACGAUGAAUGAUUGGUUAAAGAAGAUUAAGAUUAUUUUUUCCAUUACUCUGCAAUUCUAUUUUCGUUUAUCUUCAUUUACUAAUGGCAGAGGAUAAGUAAAAUUGAUAAUUACUGCAAUGUUUAUUAAGGAUGAAACUCACAGAAAUUACAUCGUACCAUGAACAAACCGGUUAAAAUUGACAAAAAUUACGUUUCAUGCCUUCAGCCAAUCUACUAAUGGCGAGGAAAAAAAUUCACAAAUUGAAUCUACUAAUAUCUGUUAUGUAAUAAUAUUUAAUUAUAUAAAAAGAAUCGAUAAGAUCAUCUCUCCUAUUUUUACUAUUAUCAAUGGCGAGAAAUAAAAUUUAAGAAAAUAUUGACAAGAUUAUUUCCAUACUUUCGAUUAAUAUACUAAUAAUAGAAAGAAUAUAUAAGUCACUCAAACAUCGUAUUAUCCUUAAUUCAACGUUUAUCGACGUAUCGAUCACCCUAUUUAUAACUGUUACAUCAGUUACACUCGUAUCGUAAAGAUAGAAGGGAAAGGCACUAUUAAAAUUUCGAGAAAAAGUUGCAAAAGUGUGAAAACGAUCGAUCUUCACAGAACCAGCCCUGCCUAAAAGUCGUUUCCUGGUGGCGAGACGACCCAGUUACCCAACAACAUUGGAAUCAAUAGAUCGCGUCAACACUCUGUUGCACGUCGAUGAUGUUGUUUCCUUUCGAAAAUGCGAUAGUAGACGCUGACCCGAUGUACGCAAUGUUUAUCUCGUAAACAGAACGAGCAUGGGCGUUCGAUAUCUGUUUAUAAUCCGUGUAAAUAUCAUUGUCAUUCAAACGACGGCUAUUAAUAGUUAAUAAAUGGAAAAUAAACGGGGAAAACAUCGCUCGCCGGUCAAUGAUACGCAUCGCGAUCUCACUUUUCGAUUGAACUUUACGCGCACGCUCGAAUUCGAAUAUUCGAAUAAUUAUUGAACCUAAUGGAAAAUUGUAAUUGAUAAAGUUGUCGAUAUUUCUGGAGAAAUUUUUUACUUUGAUUACUUUUUUUCCAAUUUUUUCGAAUUAAUAAAUAGAGAAUGAUGCAAAGCGUUUAAAACGUCAUCGUUCUCUUGGAUUCAUUUUUUAUCUCGAUAUAGAGAAAUCAAGCGAAAUCACGAAAUCGAAGAUCGACACGACCCAAUUGACCUUUCAGCCGUAAAGCUUCCACUUUCCACCGGUUAAAAAUAAUUUUAUCAUUUUAUCUCGGAGCUCGUACAAUUUUCGUUCCUCUAAGAAAAGAAUGCCUAGAAUCAACGAACGUGGAGCCAUCUGUUUCGAUCUGUUCAAAAUCUGACCAGACCUCUUCCUUUCUUUUCCUUUUCUCUCUCUCUCUUUUCCACGGAUCGCGGCCCGAUACGUUUCGUCCAAUAUCCACGAGACCGUCCGUUCGCCCUUAAAACGAACUAUUAUGGCUACAAUGCAGCUGGAUACUGGAUUUCCUCGGCUUGAUUCGCCUCGACACGGUCCACUGGGUAACCUCAAUUUCCCUACAGGUCACACAGUAGGUACUCCCCUCAGGAGACACAGGAUUACUCGGGAUACCUAUUACAGACGACGAACGUGGAACUAUCGUUCCUAUCGAGCCUGAAUAAUGCGAACGUUAUUCCUCGAAAUGAGUUUUGGGUGUUCAGAGUGGGUCGGCCUCGCUCUGUUGACGCAUAUCGGCGAUGCACGUGUCCGCGCAUGCGCGUGCGCGUGUGUGCGCGACUGUUUACCUAUCGUGUUUGCAACGUGUCUGAUAAUCGAUUUGCAAGGUGUUUCGUGCUAUUAAUUGGGCUGGGAUAAUUUCGUUAGUUCGAUUUUUGAAUAAAUUCCUGCCUCGAUUUGUAACGCGAAGAAGGAAGGAAGGAAGAAAGGCACGAGUUCGAGUUACGAUUUUUCAAUUUCAAGAUUGAGGUUAACGUUGUAUUUAUAUUUCGAUUUCGAAAUGAAUUAAUAAGAUUGAUUCUUGUAAGUACACAUUGAAAAGUAUAUUUAAAAAUUUCUUUUACUAUCGAUAAGAUAUCAAAGUCGCUUCUUCGUUUUUUUUUCUUUUUCUUUUUCGUUUCUUCAAAUAUGGUAAAUUCGGUGAACAAAGUCUCCAUUCAUCUUCCCACAUCUUUCUCUUCAUCACGAACAAGGGUUGCUUCCAAACCAAUAGGAUUAUAUCUGCAAUGGUUUCGGAUUCCCUGAUAAGCAGAUUAAAUAAAUAAUUGAAUAUAAACCUCUUAACCUGUUAGAAUCGCGAAUAUAAUUCCCAAUAUAAACCGGAAAAGGUGCUGGUUUCUCGAGAAAGGAUAAAAUCGAUAAUUCAAAAUUUCUCGCGCGAGUUUCUAAUAAAUCCCAUAAACUAAUCCGAGAAAUUAAACACGAAAGAUGUUAAUUCCACUUAUUUUUCCAAAAUGUUCCAUUUCGAAUAUGAAAGUUAACACUUUUAAUGGAGAAUUAUUAUAUUAUUUCAAGAAACGAUAGUAAAAAAAAAAAUAUCUCGUGAAAUAAUUUGGAAAAUUUUCUUCCCUUAUGACAAAUCACUUUGCACCAAUCACACACAAAUUGUUGUCUAAAAAUUAUCGAAUCGAUGUGGAUAUUUUCUUUCCUAAAAAAUUGCAUUUGCACGACGUGUAAAUCUGAGUGGAGUAAAGCUAUUUUGAACGCGAAUUACGGAUGGUCUAAUUAAGGCAAUCUCUCGGCCAACGUCGUUAAUGAUCCAGUAACGCCGUUUACAUUACAUUACGCGGAUAUAAUGAACGAUUGGCGUGAAAUUGGAUCGAAAAUUAUUAUGCGACAAAUUGGGAGAGGAGGACGAGGAUUUUUAUAUUAAUCGAUCAUCGUUAAGUACGUAAGAUAAGAAGACAUCAAUCUCAAUCGUUGGACGAUACAUCAAUGUGUAAUGGAUUCAACCUGUAAGAAAAAAAACUUGCCUUGUGAUGUUCAGAAUACGUAACACAUAUACGUGUGUGCAAUAAAUCCUAAGGUGAAGGGAAAAAAGGAUUAUAUCUAUCUGGAAUAAAUUCAAUCUGAAAAUAAAAAUUGUGACAUCCAAUACGUGUAAUAGAAUCCACGGACAAAUAGUUAAUACAGUAACAUAUUUAUAUUAAAUAUCAUAAUUCCAUGAUCUAAAGAAAAAUUGUCUUGCAAUGACAAUAUAUAUAUAUAUGUAAUAAAGUUUCCUUGAUCACAUAUCAAAUGAAAUAAAGAUUGCUUCACAUUUAUCUGCAACAAAUCCAAUCUGAGAAAGAAAAAUUAUGAAACAAAUAUUAAAUAUUCCAAGUAUCUAUUGAUUAUGAAAAAUUACCUUGUAACGUGUAACAAAAUUUACUUAACUGUAUCAAGUGAAAAAAGAUUGCUUCACGGUUACAUUUAUCUGCAACAAAUCCAAUCUGAGAAAGAAAAAUUAUGAAACAUACGUGCAUGCACAAAUGUAAAAUAUAUAUGGAAAAGAAAUUUAUAAUACAUUCAAAACAUUGAAUAUUCCAAGUAUCUAUUGAUUAUGAAAAAUUGCCUUAUGAAUGACAAUAUAUAUAUAUAUGCAAUAAAGUUCCCUUGACCACAUAUCAAAUGAAGGAAAAAUUGCUUCAUCUAUCUACAACAAAUCCAAUCUGAACAAGAAUGUGUAUGCACAAAUAUAAAAUACAUAUGGAAUGAAGAGAGAUUCCUUUAUAACGUAUUCGAAACGUUUAAUACACAUUAUUUAUCAUAAAGAGAAAAAUUGUAAAAUAUGCACAAAUAUAAAAAUACGUAUAUAUCGAAUGAAAAGAGAUUGGUUUAUGAUAUUCAAAACAUUUGAUACAUUCAUAUUUAUUCGAGGAACGCACGUAUAUCUAUCCACAAUAAAUCCAACCCGGAGAAGAAAAAUUGGCUUACGACGAUCGACUUACGUAACGCAAUUUGCAUACAUAUUAAAAAAAAAAAAAAAAAAAAGAAGAAGAAGAA